GACGAACGCUGGCGGCGUGCCUAACACAUGCAAGUAGAACGCUGAAGAGAGGAGCUUACUCUUCUUGGAUGAGUUGCGAACGGGUGAGUAACGCGUAGGUAACCUGCCUUGUAGCGGGGGAUAACUAUUGGAAACGAUAGCUAAUACCGCAUAACAAUGGAUGACACAUGUCAUUUAUUUGAAAGGGGCAAUUGCUCCACUACAAGAUGGACCUGCGUUGUAUUAGCUAGUAGGUGAGGUAAUGGCUCACCUAGGCGACGAUACAUAGCCGACCUGAGAGGGUGAUCGGCCACACUGGGACUGAGACACGGCCCAGACUCCUACGGGAGGCAGCAGUAGGGAAUCUUCGGCAAUGGGGGCAACCCUGACCGAGCAACGCCGCGUGAGUGAAGAAGGUUUUCGGAUCGUAAAGCUCUGUUGUAAGUCAAGAACGGGUGUGAGAGUGGAAAGUUCACACUGUGACGGUAGCUUACCAGAAAGGGACGGCUAACUACGUG
rnacentral:rRNA from 1 species